CACGCCGUAAACGAUGAGUGCUAGGUGUUGGGUGUCAAAGCUCAGUGCCGCAGCUAACGCAAUAAGCACUCCGCCUGGGGAGUACGAUGGCAACAUUGAAACUCAAAGGAAUUGACGGGGACCCGCACAAGCAGCGGAGCAUGUGGUUUAAUUCGAAGCAACGCGAAGAACCUUACCAGGUCUUGACAUCCUCUGACGAGCCUAGAGAUAGGAAGUUUCCUUCGGGAACAGAGAGACAGGUGG
rnacentral:rRNA from 1 species